AAUUUCUUGCUAUUGCACAAUAUUGUGCAAUUAGAUAUUUCUUGCUAUUGUGCAAUACUGUGCAAUUGAAAAUAUUGCUAUUGCACAAUACUGUGCAAUUGAAGAUUUCUUGCUAUUGCACAAUACUGUGCAAUUGAAGAUUUCUUGCUAUUGCUGAAUACUGUGCAAUUGAAAAUUCUUGCUAUUGCACAAUACUUAAUAUAAUAAUUUUGGAUCCUGAUUUGGACCAACUUGAAAAC
rnacentral:lncRNA from 1 species